UAUUAGAAUGCAGUCAGUAUUUUGGCAAACAUUUUAAGGGUGUUUUAAAAUGAAAUAAUUAGAGAUGACAGUCUUAGAAGUAGCUGUUGUUUAUAAAUGUAAUUCAGGGGGCUUUUCUAUUACCACUUUUUCUCUCCCUGACACCUGGUACAUUCAUUACACCCUUCUGGCACUCACUAAGCUGGGCAGGUUCUGAGCUGGCCUGGCCUACUUCUCAACCGACUUCCCAGCCGUGUGUCCUGUUGCCUGCCAUCCUGGUCUCACGCUGACCUCCUUCUUCAUCUGUGUCAUCAUGGGGACUCCUCAGCUCACCUGAGACUCUCUUUCUCUCUCAAGGCAUGGAAGUCCCAUAUUUUUCCUGCCCAGCUAAAAGGCUAAUCAGCUCUUUAUUGACCAACCAGGAGAUGAUGGAGAACAGUGGUUCACAAAGUACUGAGCCAGGAAAGGCCCCUAUUUUCUCUUGUCUCCACUCUGCUCAGCCUGAGUUUUACAUACUACUGUCGGAAGCUCAGCGUUGCUUUGCAGCCUUUUCCUUUCACCUUUCUCUUACGGAACUAAACUUACCUAUUAAUACUUAACAGUAAUAAAAUUGGAAGUGGGGCAAGUAUAUGUCACUUUUAAGCUGAUUAUUACUUCAGUCAUUCUUAGCUAGUUAAAUAUCUUACUUUUCUACAUCCUUGUUUCCCAUUUUUUAUUUCCUGCUUGUCUCAUUAGCUUGUGAUUAAUGUAUGGUUUUUAGUCUUUCCUAGAUAAUCAAAGUAGAACAUAAAAAAGGACUUCUGAAUUUUUUUCAUUCACUUUCUGUUUGUGCUUGUCACGGGCACAAAUACUUCCCUAACUACCUAUGUAUAUGUCGAAUAACAUAACUAAAAAUUUUAACCAUGUAAUUAUUCUUUUAGUCCAUAAGAAUAUGGGAUUACCCCCUUUUCCUACUUGUAUGUUAGACACCAUUGUUAGUGGUUCAGAAGCUAAAAGAGACUGUUCACAAUUCUUGUCCAGUAUAGUCUUCAGCAUUUACUAGCAGUGCUUUAAUUUUUAAAAAAAAGAAUUAGUAUACAAAGUAAUGGGUUUUGUUAUGGCAAUUUUAUACUUAUAUGCCAAUAUACUGCAUUUUAAUUUAGCUCUUUUCUCCACUGCUCUUCCUUGUGCUCUCUGUCCCUCCACUCUCACUGGUUCCCUUCUUUCCAGGCCAGUGGUCCGCUCUUCCGCUUCAGGGAACAGUAUUUCAUUGGCCUCUCUUUCCCCUCCCUUAAGAUCUUUUCCUCUCCUUUUAUGAUUUCCUUUCUAGUUUCACACCUCUAUUUCUGUGUCUCUCUGGCUAUCUCUCUGUCUGUGUCUGUCUGUCUGUCUCUCAAAAUAUUCAAAUCUAUUUUCUUGAUCUGAGAGAAAAUAUGCUAUAUGUCUUUUGAGUCUGGCCUAUACUGCGUAACAUAAUGGAAGUCAUUCCUUUUAAAAUUAGAGCCUUUAUAAUCUGUUAUUUGCCUAACUUUCUGGCCCCUUCACUUGUACUUCCCAUUGCUAGUGCCAGCCAGCUCAUAUAAUUGUAGUUCCUUAAACAUACUCAGUUUUCUCUUCUGUGCCUUUGGAGUGCCCUUUACUUGGACUGUUAUUCUGCUGUUUCUGGUUCCCUUUUUGUCAUCUGACAGCUGUUUCAAACCUGUUUGGUGGUUAUUGACUGGAGUCAUUUCGUGAUGACUCCUCACUUUCUGUGCUCCCAUAGUGUCUCCAUUGUUGUCUUUAAAAUUAUACUGUAUUGUUUGUCACCUUAUGUGACUAUAAGCUCUAUGGGAACACAAAUGGAGUCUUUCAUCUCUCCCUGCAUUGGACAGAACACUGUGUUCAAAUGGAAGCAGGAAAAGAAACUGAACUUGAGCGUCUUUCAUGUACCAGAAAAGUUAAGUUUAGGUAUCUAGAUACAAUAAAUUACGUUAAGUUGUCCCAAUAACUUUCUAAAACAUAUGAUUGUACCAUAUAUUAUUUUGCAUUAGCUGCAUCUUAUAGUUAGAAAUCUGAAGUUAAGUAGUUUGUCUAGUAGUUAAGUGCUAGAACUGGGGCAUAAGAAAAGACACAUUUUGACUCCAUAAUUUCUGGUAUUUCAUUUCUGUCAUACUGCUUUCUUAACUAUAUAGAUGUAUUAAUGGAGAUGAUGAGGUAUAGUGGUUUAAAGACCAUCUAUAUAGUCAACGUGCAAAUGUGAGUUUAAAUUUGAACUUUACAUUUAGCAAUUUUCAGAAUCUUAAUCUCCAUAAACCAAAUUUUCUCUUUAAUUAUGAUUGACAGCAUUAUUUACUUCAUAGGAUUGCUGUUAGAAUUAAAUAAAGGAAUGCAUGAGGACAGUUUUAUGCUGUGUUGGGUACAUAACACAUAUGAGUGAAUUGUAUCAGGUAAGGAUAUUUAUAAACAGCUUAUUGACUAGCACUAACCUAAGCAAAAUAAUAAAUAGUAAUAAUAAAAAGUUUUGAGGUAGUCUUCAGUGGGUAACCUCUUUCACAUUAUUGUUGGGUAUCUGUGAAGUUGCAAGUGUUAGCCUAUAGCUGGAGUAAAUGAGAAAGAAGGAAGAGUAGGUAUCAGCCAUGUCUGUAUAUCUAACUAGAAGGGAAAAAAAGCCUUUUAAAGUUCACAUUAUAUCUCAGUUCUGAAGUUGGUUUUGUGGAAGACUGUAGUAAUUUAAUUGUUCUCCUAAUUAUCUAAACUUUAAUGAAAAAGAUCAAGAAAGUGGAACAUAUGUUUGAGAUUAGAUCAUCUUUCUUCUCCGGGGAGAGCUCAUGGCUCCCUCACCUAAAGUUAAGGAAAGUAUCUUCCUCAGUGAUUGAUGGUGGGGUUUUGUAAUGAAACAGCCCAAAAAACUGUUAUACUUUAUGUUUAUUCAUAAUUUGAAGCAAUAAAAGAGCAUUAUGCAUUGUUUCAAUUCAUAUCAAGGAAAAUCUAAGAGUAAAUUAACUGUGUUCCUAUAUAAUAUUUAGGUAUUAACAUAUUUUUACCACCCAAGUGUGAGGACCAGACUUAGAUCCUCAGAACUUAUGGAAAGCGGGGAUGUACUGGUAGCAUAAGUCUGUGUCUCAGGGUACCUAUGCCAAGAGGGGAAUGAGAAACAUGAGGAUCACUGGAAGCUCAGGUUAGCCUACCUGGUGUAUGCAUCUGUGAUCAACAAGAGAUCCUACCUUCAGACAGGCUGGAAGUCAAGAAUUGACACCCGAGGUUGUCUUUUGAUCUCCACAUGAAAUGCUUAAGUGCCUGUGCACCUGUUACCUCCAAACCCCUUCUCACAUU
rnacentral:lncRNA from 1 species